ACUAAAGCUAGCUCAACAUACUAAACAAACACAAACACCACACUUAAAUAAAAUAAAACAUUCACCUGAUAUUAAAGUAUAGGAGAUAGAAAUUUUUAUAUGACGCUAUAGAGAUAGUACCGCAAGGGAAAGAUGAAAGAAUAAAAUUAAAAGUAAAAAAUUACCCCUUCUACCUUUUGCAUAAUGAUUUAACUAGAAAACAUCUAACAAAGAGAACUUUAGCUAGAUACCCCGAAACCAGACGAGCUAUCUAUGAGCAGUUUAAAAGAACCAACUCGUCUAUGUGGCAAAAUAGUGAGAAGACUUGUAGAUAGAGGUGAAAAGCCUAACGAGCCUGGUGAUAGCUGGUUGUCCGAGAAAGAAUUUCAGUUCAACCUUAAAAAUACCCCAAAAACAUUAAAUUUUAAUGUAUUUUUAAGAGAUAGUCUAAAAAGGUACAGCUUUUUAGAAAUGGAUACAACCUUGACUAGAGAGUAAAAAUUUAACAUUACCAUAGUAGGCCUAAAAGCAGCCAUCAAUUGAGAAAGCGUUAAAGCUCAACAAACUCACUAAUAUAAUACCAACAACUAAUAGUAAACUCCUAGAACAAUAUCGGACCAAUCUAUUAAGAUAUAGAAGCAAUAAUGUUAAUAUGAGUAACAAGAAGCCCUUCUCCUCGCACACGCUUACAUCAGUACCUAAUAUUAUACUGAUAAUUAACAAACUAAUAAACCAAAACAACACUAAAACGUUUAUUAACUAUAUUGUUAACCCAACACAGGAGUGCACUAAGGAAAGAUUAAAAGAAGUAAAAGGAACUCGGCAAACAUAAACCCCGCCUGUUUACCAAAAACAUCACCUCUAGCAUUACUAGUAUUAGAGGCAAUGCCUGCCCAGUGACAUCAGCUCUUACUUCCAAUCAGUGAAAUUGACCUUCCCGUGAAGAGGCGGGAAUAAAAAAAUAAGACGAGAAGACCCUAUGGAGCUUCAAUUAAUUAAUCCAAAAGUUACCCAAUUUAAUCACAAAGAGAUAACAUAAAACUUUAACAUGGAUUAACAAUUUCGGUUGGGGUGACCUCGGAGUAUAAAAAACCCUCCGAGUGAUUCUAAUCUAGACAAACUAGUCAAAAUUACUACAAAUAUCACUUAUUGAUCCAAAACCUUGAUCAACGGAACAAGUUACCCUAGGGAUAACAGCGCAAUCCUAUUCUAGAGUUCCUAUCGACAAUAGGGUUUACGACCUCGAUGUUGGAUCAGGACACCCAAAUGGUGCAACCGCUAUUAAAGGUUCGUUUGUUCAACGAUUAAAGUCCUACGUGAUCUGAGUUCAGACCGGAGUAAUCCAGGUCGGUUUCUAUCUAUUAUAAAUUUCUCCCAGUACGAAAGGACAAGAGAAAUGAGACCAACCUCACAAAUGCGUCUCAGAGAUAAUUAAUGACAUAAUCUUAACUUAACUAACUCAUAACAAAUCCCAACCCUAGAACAGGGUAC
rnacentral:rRNA from 1 species